rnacentral:rRNA from 1 species
AACGAACGCUGGCGGCAGGCUUAACACAUGUAAGUCGAACGGGUGUAGCAAUACAUCAGUGGCAGACGGGUGAGUAACACGUGGGAACCUUCCUAGGGGUACGGAACAACUCCGGGAAACUUGAGCUAAUACCGUAUACGUCCGUGAGGAGAAAGAUUUAUCGCCCUUAGACGGGCCCGCGUCGGAUUAGCUAGUUGGUGGGGUAACGGCCUACCAAGGCGGCGAUCCGUAGCUGAUCUUAGAGGAUGAUCAGCCACACUGGGACUGAGACACGGCCCAGACUCCUACGGGAGGCAGCAGUGGGGAAUCUUGGACAAUGGGCGCAAGCCUGAUCCAGCCAUGCCGCGUGAGUGAAGAAGGUCUUCGGAUUGUAAAGCUCUUUUGCCAGGAACGAUAAUGACGGUACCUGGAGAAUAAGCCCCGGCAAACUUCGUGCCAGCCGCCGCAGUAA